CACUGAUGAGGAAGCGAGUAACAUUAUGCCUUCACUUAGUGACAAGAGGAGUGCACCAACUUCUUCUCACUGCACAGCAUGGAAGGAUACAAGAUGGUAUCAGUGCGGAGGAAGAGAAGCUGCAUCUCCUUACACGAGGAAUCGCAUUUAGGUACACAUGCAUUUUUCCGUAAACUGAAGCUGAAGACAUCUUGGGGAAUUCUUCUCGUUUCUAAAGCUGGAAACGCCAAAGUUAUUGAAGAAGUCUUUUGACUGAUUCUUCAGUCCAACUGAAAUCUUUAAAGGAGGAGAAAUCUAUUUUGAGUGUUAAGAGUUAUUCUGGCCAGUGUGAUUUAACGCAGUUACUGGUAAAAUCUAAGUUUACAAACUUGCUUUCUGUAAGUGUUUUAUUUUCCUAUAUAGUAAUGCUAUAGAAUUUUACAUUAUAAAGCAAGAGCAAGAAUCCAGCAGAGGUGUUUUAUCGCUCCUGUUGCUCACUGCUCCCACAGAGGUUUCAAAACCUUUUACAAAUACAGAUUUUAAUACCACCAAGUUAACAGUACCCAACAUGCAGAAUGUGAUCACAGAUGUAUUAUUGUUGCAGACACUGUCACAUAUCCAUUUGUCAGUGUCUGUCAUCACGUAUUAAAUACUUCUCUAGGACUUCAUUUGCCCUCCUUUCCCCCCAAAAUGCUACCAAAUUGUAAUACGCUGAAAAAAAUCUGUUCCCCCAACUGGGCUGAUAAUCUAACGAAGGUAAGAUAGGCAGCACGUUUUCUUACUAUCUUUUUGGCCUUAAGUUGACAAACGUCAACUUGAACGCAGCGUUUUAGCUGCCACGUCCACUAGGCUGAAUAUCUACUCUGUGGUCUAGACAGCUUUGAUUCAGCACAGUGAGGAAUAUGGACUCAGAACUAGGCUGUGAGCAAAACAAGUGAACUGAUAAUCGGCGAGGACCGACAAGAGGCAGCUAAAAGAACGCUGGAUUAGUCGUUCAAUCAGCCUGAGAGGGCCGGAAGCGGCGGAAACCCCAUAGAAACCCACAGCAGCACCUGGGCUCAGGGCCAGAAACGUCGAAACGGAUCUUCCUCACCUUCUCCCGGAGAAAGAUGACAACAGAGACCGUUACCCCACCACCUUUCACCCGGGGAAGGGCAAACGCAUAGGCUAACGG